rnacentral:rRNA from 1 species
GUAGGUGGCAAGCGUUGUCCGGAAUUAUUGGGCGUAAAGCGCGCGCAGGCGGUCCUUUAAGUCUGAUGUGAAAGCCCACGGCUCAACCGUGGAGGGUCAUUGGAAACUGGGGGACUUGAGUACAGAAGAGGAAAGCGGAAUUCCAAGUGUAGCGGUGAAAUGCGUAGAGAUUUGGAGGAACACCAGUGGCGAAGGCGGCUUUCUGGUCUGUAACUGACGCUGAGGCGCGAAAGCGUGGGGAGCAAACAGGGAUUAGAUACCCUGGUAGUCCACGCCGUAAACGACGAGUGCUAAGUGUUAGGGGGUUUCCCGCCCCCUUAGUGCUGCAGCUAACGCAUUAAGCACUCCGCCUGGGGAGUACGGCCGCAAGGCUG